UACGGGGGGGGGCAAGCGUUUGUUCGGAAUUACUGGGCGUAAAGGGCUCGUAGGCGGCCAACUAAGUCGGAUGUGAAAAUCCCCCAGGCUCAACCUGGGAACUGCAUCCCGAUACUGGAUGGCUUGAAUCCGGGAGAGGGAUGCAGAAUUCCAGGUGUAGCGGUGAAAUGCGUAGAUAUCUGGAGGAAUACCGGUGGCGAAGGCGGCAUCCUGGACCGGCAUGACGCUGAGGAGCGAAAGCUAGGGGAGCAAACGGG
rnacentral:rRNA from 1 species